ACCUCUUCGGCUCCUCUCCAACUCCAAGACAGACUCCAACCAUCCUCCAUUCCUCCUCCCGGCGGCCGAUGCGGUGCUUCUCUUCUUUCUCAUCGUCCUCCUCCUCGGCGUCUCGCGACCUCCACUUCAGGAUCCUCCACCUCGCCAACCUUUCGAUCUGUCGAUCGCCAACCUUUCGAUCUCGCCUGCCGUCAUCGAUCUCGGCCAUCAUCCCCAGCCCUAGCUGGCCCGCCGACGUGGUCAAGGACGAGAAUUGCUGGACCGACGUCGACUAUUGCAAGCAGAUGAGGGUUUUUGGAUCGGCAGAUGCACGUGUGUGCAGCUGGAGAGGGUGAGUUCAUGGCAUCUUCUCGGAUUAAUUUAAUGCUCUCUUGGAAUGGAUUAGAAUACAAAGGAUUUUGAUGUCACCCACCUUCUUCGCCUUUGUUUGGCAUUCACUGCGCCCAUCUCUCUCCUCUCUAUAUCACUUUUCUAGUGAGUUUUCCUCUGUUCUCUUCAUUUUUUUUGCUAAUUGAGAUUUUUGUAUGAGCAUAAUGUGAUUCCCAGUUGGUUUUGGGAUUUGAGAUUGCCUAGUUUUGGAAUUCUAAGGUAUUUUGGAAUGGGAUAUUGAUUUCCAAGCCUGUCGUCUUUCUUUGGCCGAACAUAUGUUUUCUCCUUUGUCGAAGAAUGGUUUUCUAUGCUCUUCUUCACUUAUUUCUCUUCUUCAAUUCCCGUGGCAUCAGCGAUGCUUAACUGAGAGUCUGCUUUAGGUUCGGUUUUCUUGAAUGUAUGAGUCAACUAAGUUCUAUUUAUUAAUUUUGUUCUGAAAGGGGAAAAUGAUCUUUUGAUUUUUGUUUGGUUUACUAAAUCAUGAAAUCUUUGGAUUGCUCUGCUGUAAAAUGAUGGUUGUCCGAGCUUUUCUGUUUUGUUAUUUUUCUUCCACCUUUCUUCCUAUAAUAUAUAUUUAUGAGAUACUCAGUAGCAUUUCUUUUUCUCUUGAAGUUCUAAUGGCUUUGGUACUAAAUAUGUAAUUUGAUUGGUUGUCUAUGUUUUUCAAGAAAUGUCAGAUUGCCAACCUCAAUCUGAUCAACAUGCCUCUACAGCUCAUAGUGCAAAUGAAAUUGUUGAAUUGGAAAAUAUUAUGGAUAAAGAUAAUGUAAUGGACGAAAUGAAAGAAAUGGGUAUAGAACAAUCUUGGGAUGACCCAAACAAGAGGAAGAGAUAUGAGGUGUGGACUGAAUUUGAAAUUGUAACAAUAGAUAGCAACACAAAGGCAAAAUGCAAUCAUUGUAGCACUAAAUUGGCAUGGAAGAAGGGGGUGCCACAACUCAUCUUAAAAGACAUUUAAAAGCUUGCAUGCCUCGAAAACUUUCUAGGUCUAGUGAAGACAAAGAGUUAAAACAAAGCUUAUCGUCUUUGGAGGCUAUUCAAAGUCAUGCAAUGCUAGCAACUUAUAAGUAUGAUAAAGACAAGGUAAGAGAGAUUCUUGCAAAGAUGUUUAUAGUGCAUGAGUAUCCUUUUAGGAUGGUGGAACAUCAGUUCUUUGUUUUAUUCUGUAAAGCUCUUAACCCAAAAUUUGAGCUAAUAAAGCAAAUUACUUUGAGGAAUGACUGCAUGAAAAUGUUUGCAAUUGAGAAGCAAAAGUUGAGGUCAAUGUUAAGAAAUGUUGAUAGGAUUAGCUUAACGAUUGAUCUAUGGACCUCAAAUCAAACAAUAGGGUAUAUUUGCCUCACUGGAUAUUUUUUAGAUUUUGAAGGAAGUUGCAAAAGAGAAUUUUAAAUUUUUGUAGCUUGGCACCUCCCCACACGGGAAUUACUAUUGCUGAUUGUAUUCUUCAGUGUCUAACUGAAUGGGGGAUUGAAGAUAAAGUUUCCACUAUUACGUUAGACAAUGCAUCUUCGAAUGACACAACAAUCAAGGUCUUGAGGGAUAAUUUUGCAAUCAAAGGAAAGCUUUACUUCAAUGGAAAAAUAUUUCAUGUUCGCUGUUGUGCACAUGUUUUGAACCUAAUGGUACAAGAUGGUUUAUUAGAAAUAUGAGAUGUAAUUGAGAAUAUCCGCAAAAGUGUGAAAUAUUUGAAGAUGUCUCCUUCACGACUUCAUAAGUUUAAUAACGUUGUUAAACAGUUGAAGUUGUCAACCUCUAAAAUUCUUCAACUUGAUGUGCCUACUCGAUGGAACUCAACAUAUGAAAUGCUAGAGUCAGCAUUGGAGUUCAAACUGGUGUUUCCAAUGUAUAAAGAAAGAGACUCCAACUACAAAUAGUUACCAUCCGAGGAGGACUGGAUACGAGAUACAGAGGUUUCAAAAUUUUUGAAAGUUUUUAAUGAAGCCACAAAAGUGUUCUCAAGACAUCAAUAUCCAACUUCGAAUUUGUUCCUUAAAGAAAUUUGGAGAGUGAAAAAGAAAUUAAAUGAUAUAUCCUUCGAUACUAGAGAUUUUGUGAUGCACAUGACUUGAAGAAUGAAUGAAAAAUUUAAGAAGUAUUGGGGAGACUGUAACUUACUAAUGGCAAUUGGAGCAGUUUUGGAUCCUCGCUAUAAAAUGCGGCUCAUUAUAUUUUAUUUUUCAAAAAUUUAUAGUGUGAAUGUUUUUCAACGCCAUAUUGAUGAUGUUCGUGAAGCUUUAGAUAUGCUACUCAAGGAAUAUGUAUCUUCAGAGGGACAAAUAUAUGUUAGUGCUAGCAAUGUCACUAGUACCUCCUCUAAACUGAAAAGAAAAGAAGGGAUGAUGAUAACUUUGAUAUGCGGGCUGAACAACAUGGGGAUGUUCUUCCUGCAAACAAAACUGAGUUGGACAUAUAUCUAGAAGAAGGUAUUUACAAACCUAGUGAUGAAGACUAUGACAAGUUUGAUGCUUUGAACUGGUGGAAAGCCAACACCCUAAAAUUUUGCUAUCUAUCAAAGAUGGCUCGGGUCAUACUAUCCAUUCCUAUUACUACUGCUACUUUAGGGGCCACAUUUAGUGCUAGAGGUAGAGUGCUUGAUCAAUAUUGUAGCUCUUUGAAGCCUGAGACUAUACAAGUUUUGAUUUGUACUGGAGAUUGGUUGCGUCAUGAGCUUGGAUUGGAGCAGUCAUCAAAUGUUGAUGAAGAGUUUAUGCAAUGGAACAUAGAGACGUCUAAACUAGACUACUUGAGAACUUGAGAUUUAUUAUGUUUAUUGUGCUUCUUGAACUUUUUUGUAGAACUUGAUUUGUAUUGGAUGUUUUUUAGUUUGUUGGGGUUUCACUUAGACCAUUUAAAUUCUCUUUGAUUGUCAUUGCCUUUGUGCUUGGAUAUGGUUAAUUCUUUUCUUUUUAGUCUGCGACCGGGCUUGCUGUCAUUGCCUUUUUUUGUCUGUGACCAUUUCAACAAUUGCCAGCCCACUUGAUGGAUCAACAGAAACAAGUUAGUCAUGUUCAUGGUUCUACAUCCUUUAGUUCUGGGUCGUCAUUUUAUGGUAUAGAUGGACGUCCAUAUUACAAUGCUGAAGAUGGAGCUAGUGGUGCAGAUAAAGAUCAUAUGACUUCUCUGCAAAGAAAUUUUGGUCCAAGUUCAUCCACCUAUGAGCAGGAGGUAUCUUAUUGUUAUUCUUCUACAGUUCUACUCAAGGUAAUGCUUCAUUUAGCAUUUGGCUUUGUGCAUGAAUGAUAUCCCAAGUGCUGCUGCCAUCUACGUUGGUCAUUUGUCUUUGUUUUUAUUUGACAAUUUCAUGCUAACAGUAUCCUUUACUUUGGGUUACUGCAUGAAUUUGCUGUCCACAAAGGACAGCUUCCUUCAAAUUUGUCAGUUGUAUUAUUGUACUAAUAUUGGAUGCAGAACCUCUGGAAUCUUCAAUAGUGAGCACUCAAGAUGUUGACAUUAGUUGCAAGCUUUACAGAUCAUUAUUUGUCCUUACGAGACAGAUGCUGUAAUUUAUGCGAACUUGAACAGCCAAAUUUGUUCCCUAGUUUUGAUGCAUAAUCUGGAGCUAGGCCUAUUAGCUGGAACACUGGUUGGAACUUCACUUAUUUAGCAAUGGAUCGCGGUUGAUCUUAGUGGUCUGGGAGGAAAAGCGAGACCUUGUUGGAGUUGGGUCAUCGAGCAGUAUACCUUUCAUGAGAUAUAACUAGGUGGCAACGAGUGCAAUGCCCUUUCAGAUACCUUUCACGAGGUCAAGAGGAAGUGUGAUAAGAGAAAAGAGUUUGACUUGCGUCCAAGGUGGUCGUUGGGUGAGGAAUACUCCCAAGGGAAAAGCGAAGCUCGUUCCUUGAAAAGAGCCAGGAUACACCCAUAGUUGACAUCGCCAUAGUUGCUGUCGUGCAUCACAGGCUGAACUGAUGCGUCAAAUAGUCAAUUUUCUCCUUCCAGGCCACAGGAUGUUGCUGAAAUGGAGGUUAUCAACUCAAACCACAUCCAGAACACCUGGCCGUCACCAUAGCUUGCUCAUGCAGUGCUCUCUUUAUAAAUUAAGCAGCGGAGGACAGCGAUGAAUGUCUAAUUCAAAAUUUUCUUGUCCUUUUUAUUGGCAGCCAAUCUGAUGAAUACGAUUUAAGAUGUCUUCGUUCACGAUAAUGCAUCUUUUUAACAACUUGUGUUCAUACUUUCCUUUAAUUUCAUGUGACACUUGUAUCUGUGGUCUUAUGCUACUGCAAGGCGCUGAGCCAAAAAGAAUUUAUGCUGGCAUAAUCAAAUCUCUCAAUCUGAGACUUCUGUA